GACGAACGCUGGCGGCGUGCUUAACACAUGCAAGUCGAGCGGAAAGGCCACUUCGGUGGUACUCGAGCGGCGAACGGGUGAGUAACACGUGAGUAAUCCGCCCCUGGCUUUGGGAUAGCCACCGGAAACGGUGAUUAAUACCGGAUAUGACCACUUCACGCAUGUGAUGGUGGUGGAAAGUUUUUCGGCCAGGGAUGGGCUCGCGGCCUAUCAGCUUGAUGGUGAGGUAAUGGCUCACCAUGGCUUCGACGGGUAGCCGGCCUGAGAGGGUGACCGGUCACACUGGGACUGAGACACGGCGCAGACUCCUACGGGAGGCAGCAGUGGGGAAUAUUGGACAAUGGGCGGAAGCCUGAUCCAGCAACGCCGCGUGAGGGAUGACGGCCUUCGGGUUGUAAACCUCUUUCGCCUGUGACGAAGCGCAAGUGACGGUAACAGGUAAAGAAGCACCGGCCAACUACGUGCCAGCCGCCGCCGUAAUAC
rnacentral:rRNA from 1 species